rnacentral:rRNA from 1 species
ACGAGAAAUUCCGUCGGAAUCCGCGGGGACCAUCCCGCAAGGCUAAAUACUCCCUAGUGACCGAUAGUGAACCAGUACCGUGAGGGAAAGGUGAAAAGCACCCCGGAAGGGGAGUGAAAUAGAUCCUGAAACCGUGUGCCUACAACAAGUCAAAGCUCGUUAAUGAGUGAUGGCGUGCCUUUUGUAGAAUGAACCGGCGAGUUACGAUUGCAUGCGAGGUUAAGUCGAAGAGACGGAGCCGCAGCGAAAGCGAGUCUGAAUAGGGCGAAUGAGUAUGUAGUCGUAGACCCGAAACCAUGUGAUCUACCCAUGUCCAGGUUGAAGGUGCGGUAAAACGCACUGGAGGACCGAACCCACGUACGUUGAAAAGUGCGGGGAUGAGGUGUGGGUAGCGGAGAAAUUCCAAACGAACUUGGAGAUAGCUGGUUCUCUCCGAAAUAGCUUUAGGGCUAGCCUCGGAAUUGAGAAUGAUGGAGGUAGAGCACUGUUUGGACUAGGGGCCCAUCUCGGGUUACCGAAUUCAGAUAAACUCCGAAUGCCAUUCAUUUAUAUCCGGGAGUCAGACUGCGAGUGAUAAGAUCCGUAGUCG